rnacentral:rRNA from 1 species
CACGUAGGGUGCAAGCGUUGUCCGGAAUCAUUGGGCGUAAAGCGCGUGUAGGCGGUCCGGUAAGUCUGCUGUGAAAGUCGGGGGCUCAACCCUCGGAUGCCGGUGGAUACUGUCGGGCUUGAGUACGGAAGAGGCGAGUGGAAUUCCUGGUGUAGCGGUGAAAUGCGCAGAUAUCAGGAGGAACACCAAUUGCGAAGGCAGCUCGCUGGGACGUUACUGACGCUGAGGCGCGAAAGCGUGGGGAGCGAACAGG